rnacentral:rRNA from 1 species
AUGCAUGCUGGUACGAUUAUGGAGUCUAAUGAUGCAACUUUCUUUGAGGACAUAUUUCCUAUGAAGGAUAUGUCAAGUUCAUCAAAUCAGGAGAUACCUAUUCCAUCUAGUGAGGAACUCACUGUAAUUCCUGAACCCACCAUUGCCAUGGAACACGUUGAGAAUCCUGUUGAGGGUGACAAUGAAACUCCUAUAAGGAGUAAGAGACAGAGGACUGCAAAGUCCUUUGGUGAUGAUUUCAUUGUGUACCUUGUGGAUGACACACCCAGGACUAUUUCAGAAGCCUAUGCAUCUCCUGAUGCUGACUACUGGAAGGAAGGUGUUCGUUGCGAGAUGGAUUCCAUCUUAGCUAACGGAACCUGGGAGAUCACUGGCCGUCCUUAUGGGUGCAAACCUAUAGGAUGUAAGUGGGUGUUCAAGAAGAAGCUUAGACCUGAUGGUACGAUUGAAAAGUACAAGGCACGGCUUGUGGCUAAGGGUUAUACCCAGAAAGAAGGUGAAGACUUCUUUGAUACUUACUCACCCGUGGCUAGACUGACCACAAUUCGGGUGCUACUAUCACUGGCUGCCUCACAUGGUCUUCUCGUUCAUCAAAUGGACGUUAAGACGGCUUUCCUCAAUGGAGAGUUGAAGGAGGAAAUUUACAUGGAUCAGCCAGAUGGUUUUGUAGUACCUGGUCAAGAAGGAAAGGUGUGCAAGUUAUUAAAGUCUUUAUAUGGCCUUAAACAAGCUCCUAAGGAGUGGCAUGAGAAGUUCGAAAGAACAUUAACUGCUGCCGACUUUGUAGUAAAUGAUGGUGACAAGUGUGUGUACUAUCGCCAUGGUGGGGGCGAAGGAGUUAUUCUUUGUCUGUAUGUCGACGACAUAUUGAUCUUUGGAACCAAACUUGAUUUAAUCAAGGAGGUUAAGGAUUUCUUAUCUCGCUGUUUUGAGAUGAAGGAUCUAGGAGUAGCUGAUGUUAUCUUAAACAUCAAGCUGUUGAGAGAUGAGAAUGGUGGGAUCACACUGCUUCAGUCUCACUAUGUGGAAAAGGUCUUGAGUCGUUUUGGGUAUAGCGACUGCACGCCUUCUCCAACUCCAUAUGAUGCUAGUGUGUUGCUUCGAAAGAAUCGACGAAUUGCUAGAGAUCAACUGAGGUAUUCUCAUAUUAUUGGCUCGCUUAUGUAUUUGGCGAGUGCCACGAGGCCUGACAUCUCUUUUGCUGUGAGCAAGCUGAGUCGGUUCGUGUCAAAACCGGGAGAUGAUCAUUGGCGUGCGCUUGAGAGAGUUAUGCGCUACUUGAAGGGCACUGCGAGCUAUGGGAUUCACUACACCGGGUAUCCAAGGGUACUGGAGGGUUAUAGUGACUCUAACUGGAUAUCUGAUGCUGAUGAGAUUAAGGCCACAAGUGGUUAUGUUUUUACACUUGGUGGUGGCACUGUUUCCUGGAAGUCUUGCAAGCAGACCAUCUUAACGAGGUCAACUAUGGAAGCAGAACUCACAGCAUUAGACACUGCCGCUGUUGAAGCAGAGUGGCUUCGUGAGCUAUUGAUGGACUUACCUAUGGUUGAAAAACCUAUACCCCCUAUCCUCAUGAACUGUGAUAAUCAAACUGUGAUCGUCAAGAUAAACUGUUCUAAGUACAAUAUGAAGUCCUCAAGGCAUGUGAAGAGGAGAUUAAAAUCUGUCAGGAAACUGAGAGACUCCGGAGUUAUUACGUUGGAUUAUAUCAAAAUGUCGAAAAACUUGGCAGAUCCCUUCACAAAGGGUCUAUCACGUAAUGUGAUAGAUAAUGCAUCAAUGGAGAUGGGUUUGAGACCCACCGCAUGA